UUUUUUUGUUAACAACUGCUUGCACAAUUACACAGCUACUGAGAGCAUUUCUGUUUUCUCAAGGUGACACACUCGUACUCAAAGCACAACACUGAACACCACUUUGAUAUGAGGGAACAGUUAUGACCUAAUCUUUGGUAGAGGAGGAAAACAUGGAAAACACACAGGGCAGGGUAACUGCAGAAGUAGUAAACUGGUUGGAGCUUAUUGACAGGGCGGAUGUGCUCGACUGCACCUGGUGCAUAUUGGUGAUUACUAACUCCCUGGAAAAGAACCUCAAUUGGAGGGGAAUCAAUAGAAAGACUUCACUGUCCGCUCUCCAACUCGGAGAGGUCGUAAUUGGGAAGUAUAUCUGUUUACAUACAGAAUUAGCUGUCUCUCUCAGUUGAUAUGUAAGGGGUAAUCCACGGCUAGAUGUGCAUUAAACGAUUUUAGUGCAUGAUGUGGAGGAAAUGAACCACUCGUUCAAAUCGUUUAAUGCACACCUAGCCAUGGAUUACCCCGCUUAUACCAUGGUCUUUCCACAAUUAAUAACGUUAAAGCUGUCAUUGGUUUAGAAGUGCAAACUUUGAUUAGAAGUUUAAAAUGAUCGUUAAUUUCUGUUAGUUAGGUCGUUAGAUCUGGAAUUUUGCCCAUUAUAAAUCAGACACAGAGGUAAAGUAGUGUGAUGAGUUUGCAUUUAUUUGAAUGAAUUGACAGAUAUCUAUCAGAGAGAGAGAGAAAGAGAGAGAGAGAGAGAGAGAUCAAGCGUGUAUGAAUUACGUGCAUCAUAGGUGCCUCUCAGCAGUCAGUGUUGCGCAGCAGUAGUGUAGUAAAACUAAGAGUUGAAUUACUUCAGAAACAGUGAUGGUACCACCUCGUUGCUGAGAAAUAUCAUGUAGCUUUUCACCAGCAAAGCUAUUUUUAUUGUUAAAGUUGCAGAAAGCGCUGGCAAGAUGUGUCUGUUCAUAUGAAUGUCUCUGUAUGCUCAAGUGUCUGCGUGUGUGUGCAUGUAGGCUGCGCAUUGAUAUAGAAAUGAUUACGGUGAUCAAUCUGACGGGAACUACCUGUGCAAUAAACGGUUAUAAUGCACACCUUCCAGCCAAUCAGAAUCCAGUAUUCACAGUGACCAUGGUAUAAGCAUAGUUAAUGCUUAAGAUUCAUAAUGACUGUAUGAUAUGUAUUGCUUUAUUCCAAAGUUCAUAGAAACCUCUUUACGGCUAAUGCUGCAGAGAUGGAGGUCGAGAGGACCAUGAAGAGGUGGCUCCAGCUGGCAUCAGAUCAAGAGUGUGGGUGCAAGAGAAGUCUUUUGCAAAAGGAAGCUACCAGGAAUCCUGAAGAAGGACGAGUGCAUUGGAGCAGUCGUGCCGCAUGCGGGGGCAAACAUCAGGCUUCGGCAGACAGAGGUUCUGAAGAGGGCCAGCCUGAUCGAGACGGUACGAGGCAGAUCACCCACCGCGAAGAUCAUCGUCUCUGGACCUCUUCCCUCAUACAGAUGUGGAGCUGAAAAGUUCAGUAGACUUCUAGCAUUAAAUGAUUGGUUAGUUUCUUGGUGUAAUUAACAGGAAUCUGCUGUUUGUUAAUAACUGGAAUCUGUUCUGGGAGCGUCCUAGGUUGUUUCGUCCUGAUGGCCUGCACUCCAGCAGCUUCGGAGCGGAACUGCUGUCUGACAACAUCUCCAAGACACUACAAACCAAGUGACUGCCUACCGUCAAAUUAUUCGUAAACAUGGAAUGAAUUUCCACUGUUAUGCUGAUGAUACAGAGCUGCAUGUUUGCAACUGAACAAGAACAACAAUAAACAACAACUGAAGAAUAGCGAAAAACUUCAACUGUUUUCGUGCUUACUUGAAGACGAUGAGGCAGAGCAGCAUCGGAGAGACAGUUCGCUCCAUUCUCCAAAGAAUCGGGAAGAACAGUCUGUGGUGUAUGUUUUUGUUGAAAGUGUCAAAAGGUGGGAAGCUGGCUUUGACUGAUCAGGAUGAAGUGUGUCGCCUUGUACACUAUAUUGCCGAACAAGCACAUGGACGUGAAUAUACUGUUGCCGGUUGCAGAGAGGCCAUCGGCAGCUACCUAAAAAAUGCCCCAGGCAGGAAAAGUGGCAAGAAACAUAUUAUGAGUGUUUAUGAUGAAGCAGAGCUACAUGGGAUCUCCAGUGCGUCCUGCAAGAAUUGGGCCUGAGUCCAGUUCAGAUUCAAUUUUGUAAUCUCAUUCCUCUCCCUUGCGUGACAGCCUCCAAACAGUACAAUUCUAAUGAGCUUGAAUAUACGGGGAAUUCCAUUGGGUUUGAUGUCUGACUAAUUAAAGACCCACCUCUUCUAUGAACACCUAACCAACUCAUAAUAAAAAAAUUUUAAAAAAAAUGCACUUACACCUCUAGUCUGCACUUUGCUUCUUCUAGAAUUCAAUGAAUAGAUCUUGUAUGGUAGCUGCUCUUGUAUUGUUCUCUGCUUGAUAUAUCGCUUUGCUUGUAUCUUUCUUAUUUGUAAGUCGCUUUGGAUAAAAGCGUCUGCUAAGUGAAUAAAUGUAAUGCAAAUGUAGUAAAUUGUUUUCUUUGAUUAGCAAUACAUAGGUACUAUAUCUGGCUGUUUUCUGUGUUACAAUAUUGAAUGUCAUUUUUCAGCUAUUCACUUUGUCUGCAUUUACUAAAAUUCAUGCAUGUUUAUUAAAAAUAUUCACGGAGUUUGUUAAACUAUAUAAUUGUUGUCUAUCAUUUAUAAGAUUCGUCAUGGGAAUUCCAUAGACCAGAAUCUAACAUCCACAUUAUUGAAGCAUUGUUUAAUUACGGAUUUUUUUAAGCAUGCGGUAUGUUAUAUGCUUUAAUUGUAUCUUGCCACAUAAUGUUGGAAAAUGAUUACUUGUGUACUUUUCAAGAAAUUAGAUACAAAAAGGAUUACACAUAUCUGAUUAGAAAAAAUAGCAUCGUAAUGUGUGUAACUUUGUGUAUAA